GGUCGCUGCACGCGCGCCCUCCGGGGCGGCGUGAAGAGGAAAGUCCGGGCAACACAGAGCAUCAUAUUUCCUAACGGGAAGCCGGCGGCGACGUCGGGGACAAUGUGACAGAAAACUACCGCCCGGGGCUCCGGCUCCGGGUAAGGGUGAAAAGGCGGGGUAAGAGCCCACCGGCUCCGAUGGCGACACCGGAGGCCGCACAUCCUAUGAGUUGCAAGGCCAAAUAUACCGGCAGACAAGGGCUGCUCGUCCAUUGCCGGGGGGUAGGCUGCUUGAUUGCCGAGGCUAUGCCGAGGCAAGUAGAUAAAUGACCGACACCGCGCCACCGGCGCGGCACAUAACCCGGCUUACAACGCUUCU
rnacentral:RNase_P_RNA from 1 species